rnacentral:rRNA from 1 species
GAGUUGUACGUAUAACGUAGCAAACUGCUCAGUAACACGUGGCCAAACUGCCCUAUGGACUGGAAUAACCUCGGGAAACUGAGGCUAAUUCCGGAUAGUACAUCCAGCCUGGAACUGGCGGAUGUGUGAAACGCUCCGGCGCCAUAGGAUGUGGCUGCGGCCGAUUAGGUAGACGGUGGGGUAACGGCCCACCGUGCCGAUAAUCGGUACGGGUCAUGAGAGUGAGAGCCCGGAGACGGACUCUGAGACACGAGUCCGGGCCCUACGGGGCGCAGCAGGCGCGAAACCUUUACACUGCACGCCAGUGCGAUAGGGGGACACCGAGUGCGAGGGCAUAGAGCCCUCGCUUUUCUGGACCGUAAGGAGGUCCGCGAAUAAGGGCUGGGCAAGACCGGUGCCAGCCGCCGCGGUAACACCGGCAGCCCAAGUGAUGGCCGAUAUUAUUGGGCCUAAAGCGUCCGUAGCUGGCCGUUCAAGUUCGUCGGGGAAUCCACUCGCUUAACGAGUGGGCGUCCGGCGAAAACUGUUCGGCUUGGGACCGGAAGAUCCAAGGGGUACGUCCGGGGUAGGAGUGAAAUCCUGUAAU